rnacentral:rRNA from 1 species
CCAGCAGCCGCGGUAAGACGGAGGGGGCGAGCGUUGUUCGGAAUUAUUGGGCGUAAAGGGCGCGUAGGCGGAUCGGCGUGUCUGGCGUGAAAUCUCCACCACUCAACGGGGAGAGGCCGCUGGAAACUACCGAUCUGGAGUUCGGCAGAGGGCCGUGGAAUUCCGGGUGUAGCGGUGGAAUGCGUAGAUAUCCGGAAGAACACCGGUGGCGAAGGCGGCGGCCUGGGCCGAUACUGACGCUGAGGCGCGAAAGCCAGGGGAGCAAACGGGAUUAGAUACCCCGGUAGUCCUGGCCGUAAACGUUGGAUACUAGGUGUGAGGGGUAUCGACCCCCCUCGUGCCGAAGUUAACACAUUAAGUAUCCCGCCUGGGGAGUACGGCCGCAAGGUUGAAACUUAAAGGAAUUGGCGGGGGA